UACACAAAAGCUAUAUGCUCGCUUGAGGGAGUUUCUUGCUCAUCCCCAUUUGAAAGGGGGUGAUGCAUCAUGACAACAUACGAAACAAUCUCUAUAAUGAUUGCUUUCGGCAUGCUGAUUGCCGUGUUGUCUAAGAAAGAAAAAUAGACACUCCCUUAAGCCUUGGCAAGUGAAAGGGAUAGUGUCUACGUUAGAGCUGUCUGAGCAAGCCCCUUGACGGGCCGCUUUGUGUAUGAUGACUCGACUGUUGGCGCAGUCGGGU
rfam:Bacillus glycinifermentans strain GO-13 contig_1, whole genome shotgun sequence.